rnacentral:rRNA from 1 species
UACGUAGGGUGCAAGCGUUGUCCGGAAUUAUUGGGCGUAAAGAGCUCGUAGGCGGUUUGUCGCGUCGGUUGUGAAAACCCAAGGCUCAACCUUGGGCCUGCAAUCGAUACGGGCAGACUAGAGUACUGCAGGGGAGACUGGAAUUCCUGGUGUAGCGGUGGAAUGCGCAGAUAUCAGGAGGAACACCGGUGGCGAAGGCGGGUCUCUGGGCAGUAACUGACGCUGAGGAGCGAAAGCGUGGGGAGCGAACAGG